rnacentral:sRNA from 1 species
UGCAGCGGGUCUAUGUUGUGGAGGUGCU